rnacentral:rRNA from 1 species
CCUACGGGUGGCUGCAGUGGGGAAUAUUCCGCAAUGGGCGAAAGCCUGACGCAGCGACGCCGCGUGAGGGAUGAAGGUUUUCGGAUCGUAACCCUCUGUCAGAAGGGAAGAAGUUGCAUGGGGCCAAUCACCUGUGCAUUGACGGUACCUUCAAAGGAAGCCACGGCUAACUCCGUGCCAGCAGCCGCGGUAAUACGGAGGGUGCGAGCGUUAAUCGGAAUUAUGGGGCGUAAGGCGCACGUAGGCGGUAUGUCAAGUCACGGGUGAAAUGCCACGGCUCAACCGUGGAACGGCCUUUGAAACUGGCAAACUGGAGUAUGUGAGAGGGCGGCGGAAUUACUGGUGUAGGAGUGAAAUCCGUAGAUAUCAGGAGGAACAUCAGUGGCGAAGGCGGCCGCCUGGCACAAAACUGACGCUGAGGUGCGAAAGCGUGGGUAGCAAACAGGAUUAGAUACCCUGGUAGUC